rnacentral:rRNA from 1 species
AUGGCGGCAGAGAAACAUCUCUUUCGCUUUGGGUCUUUGGCUAUAAAGGACGAGUCAGAGAUUCGUUUCUGGGAAGACAUCUGGUUAGGCAACGCCAGACUCCGAGAACAAUAUCCAGCCUUGUACAACAUUGCUCGCGAUAAAAAUAAUACUAUUGCGCAGGUGCUCAGCUCAUCUCCGCCGAAUCUUUCAUUCAGGCGGGAUUUGAUUGGCACCCGACUUAUGUCAUGGCAUAAUCUCUUAUCUCGUUUGAACCUGACACAAGGCCGGGACGUGUUUCGCUGGAACCUUACUACAUCUAGGUCUUUUACAGUAGACUCUAUGUACCAUGCGCUCACGCAUUCCGAGGUACCAGUGAGUAAUAACAAAAAAAAUUAG